GACGAACGCUGGCGGCGUGCCUAAUACAUGCAAGUAGAACGCAGUGGGGACGGGUGAGUAACACGUGGGUAACCUCCCAUCAGAGGGGAUAACACUUGGAAACAGGUGCUCAACCGAUACUGCUGGAUGGACCCGAGGUGCAUUAGCUAGUUGGUGAGGUAACGGCUAACCAAGGCCAUGAUGCAUAGCUGACCUGGUAGUGUGUUCUGCCAAAAUGGGACUACGACACGGCCCAGACUCCUACGGGAGGAAGAAGUAGGGAAUCUUCGGCAAUUGACGAAAGUCUGACCGAGCAGCGCCGCGUGAGUGAAGAAGGUUUUCGGAUCGUAAAACUCUGUUGUUAGAGAAGCGGUAUCUAACCAGAAAGCCACGGCUAACUACGUGCCAGCAGCCGCGGUAAUAC
rnacentral:rRNA from 1 species